GAAAAGUGUACACUAUAUGGAUCUUGUAAUAACGUCAUCAAUUCCUCAUGUGGCUGCAUCAACACUCUUCCAAAUGAUGGACACUUUUGCCAACCAAUCAGUGAGCUGAAUAACUCUACAUGCCCAGCUGAACCACUCUCAGCUGAUUAUCUGAUUGAGUUUGAGAUUAGUGCAGUAGAUGAAACAGUCCUGAAUCAAGUGAGGAAUAUUCUGGAGACAACCAGUUUACCAUUAAUAUAUAGAAACAUCAAUAUCACUGACAUUAACGUCA